rnacentral:rRNA from 6 species
UGGACCUCAGAUCAGGCAAGAUUACCCGCUGAGUUUAAGCAUAUCACUAAGCGGAGGAAAAGAA